GAUGAACGCUGGCGGCGUGCCUAAUACAUGCAAGUCGAGCGAACAGAUGAGGAGCUUGCUCCUCUGACGUUAGCGGCGGACGGGUGAGUAACACGUGGAUAACCUACCUAUAAGACUGGGAUAACUUCGGGAAACCGGAGCUAAUACCGGAUAAUAUAUUGAACCGCAUGGUUCAAUAGUGAAAGACGGUUUUGCUGUCACUUAUAGAUGGAUCCGCGCCGCAUUAGCUAGUUGGUAAGGUAACGGCUUACCAAGGCAACGAUGCGUAGCCGACCUGAGAGGCGGAUCGGCCACAUUGGAACUGAGACAGGGUCCAGGCUCCUACGGGAGGCAGCAGUAGGGAAUCUUCCGCAAUGGGCGAAAGCCUGACGGAGCAACGCGGCGUGAGUGAUGAAGGUCUUCGGAUCGUAAAACUCUGUUAUGAGGGAAGAACAAAUGUGGAAGGAAAUAUGCACGUCGUGACGGUACCUGAUAAGAAAGCCACGGCUAACUACGUG
rnacentral:rRNA from 1 species